GACGAACGCUGGCGGCGUGCCUAAUACAUGCAAGUCGAGCGAACAGAAGCAGCAGAAUUACUUCGGUAAGGACGCUGUGGAAGUUAGCGGCGGAUGGGUGAGUAACACGUGGGUAACCUACCCUUAAGACUGGGAUACCACUUGGAAACAGGUGCUAAUACCGGAUAGGAGUAUGAGCUGCAUGGCUUAUACUUUAAAGGCGGCGAAAGCUGUCACUAAAGGAUGGACCCGCGGUGCAUUAGCUAGUUGGUAAGGUAACGGCUUACCAAGGCGACGAUGCAUAGCCGAGUUGAGAGACUGAUCGGCCACAUUGGGACUGAGACACGGCCCAAACUCCUACGGGAGGCAGCAGUAGGGAAUCUUCCACAAUGGACGCAAGUCUGAUGGAGCAACGCCGCGUGAGUGAAGAAGGUUUUCGGAUCGUAAAGCUCUGUUGUUGGUGAAGAAGGAUAUAGGUAGUAACUGGCCUAUAUUUGACGGUAAUCAACCAGAAAGUCACGGCUAACUACGUGCCAGCAGCCGCGGUAAUACGUAGGUGGCAAGCGUUGUCCGGAUUUAUUGGGCGUAAAGCGAGCGCAGGCGGAGAAAUAAGUCUGAUGUGAAAGCCCACGGCUCAACCGUGGAACUGCAUCGGAAACUGUUUUUCUUGAGUGCAGAAGAGGAGAGUGGAACUCCAUGUGUAGCGGUGGAAUGCAUAGAUAUAUGGAAGAACACCAGCGGCGAAGGCGGCUCUCUGGUCUGCAACUGACGCUGAGGCUCGAAAGCAUGGGUAGCGAACAGG
rnacentral:rRNA from 1 species